rnacentral:rRNA from 1 species
YCGACGAUCCUACGGGAGGCAGCAGUGGGGAAUUUUCCGCAAUGGGCGAAAGCCUGACGGAGCAACGCCGCGUGAGGGACGAAGGCCUCUGGGCUGUAAACCUCUUUUCUCAAGGAAGAAGAUAUGACGGUACUUGAGGAAUAAGCCACGGCUAAUUCCGUGCCAGCAGCCGCGGUAAUACGGGAGUGGCAAGCGUUAUCCGGAAUUAUUGGGCGUAAAGCGUCCGCAGGCGGCUUUUCAAGUCUGCUGUUAAAGCGUGGAGCUUAACUCCAUCAUGGCAGUGGAAACUGAAAGGCUUGAGUAUGGUAGGGGCAGAGGGAAUUCCCGGUGUAGCGGUGAAAUGCGUAGAUAUCGGGAAGAACACCAGUGGCGAAGGCGCUCUGCUGGGCCAUUACUGACGCUCAUGGACGAAAGCCAGGGGAGCGAAAGGGAUUAGAUACCCCUGUAGUCCUGGCCGUAAACGAUGAACACUAGGUGUCGGGGGAAUCGACCCCUUCGGUGUCGUAGCUAACGCGUUAAGUGUUCCGCCUGGGGAGUACGCACGCAAGUGUGAAACUCAAAGGAAUUGACGGAAUCUC